CGGGUGAGUAAUGUCUGGGAAACUGCCUGAUGGAGGGGGAUAACUACUGGAAACGGUAGCUAAUACCGCAUAACGUCGCAAGACCAAAGAGGGGGGCCUUCGGGCCUCUUGCCAUCAGAUGUGCCCAGAUGGGAUUAGCUAGUAGGUGGGGUAACGGCUCACCUAGGCGACGAUCCCUAGCUGGUCUGAGAGGAUGACCAGCCACACUGGAACUGAGACACGGUCCAGACUCCUACGGGAGGCAGCAUG
rnacentral:rRNA from 1 species